rnacentral:rRNA from 1 species
GACGAACGCUGGCGGCGUGCUUAACACAUGCAAGUCGAGCGGAAAGGCCCUUCGGGGUACUCUAGCGGCGAACGGGUGAGUAACACGUGAGUAACCUGCCCCAGACUUUGGGAUAACCCUCGGAAACGGGGGCUAAUACCGGAUACGACACAGCUUCGCAUGGGGUCUUUGUGGAAAGUUUUUCGGUUUGGGAUGGGCUCGCGGCCUAUCAGCUUGUUGGUGGGGUGAUGGCCUAACAAGGCGACGACGGGUAGCCGGCCUGAGAGGGCGACCGGCCACACUGGGACUGAGACACGGCCCAGAAUCCUACGGGAGGCAGCAGUGGGGAAUAUUGCACAAUGGGCGGAAGCCUGAUGCAGCGACGCCGCGUGAGGGAUGACGGCCUUCGGGUUGUAAACCUCUUUCAGCAGGGACGAAGCGUAAGUGACGGUACCUGCAGAAGAAGCGCCGGCCAACUACGUG